CAGCACCUCAAGUGGUCAGGAUGAUUAUUGGGCCUAAAGCAUCCGUAGCCGGCGCUGUAAGUUUUCGGUUAAAUCUGUACGCUCAACGUACAGGCUGCCGGGAAUACUGCAGAGCUAGGGAGUGGGAGAGGUAGACGGUACUCGGUAGGAAGGGGUAAAAUCCUUUGAUCUAUUGAUGACCACCUGUGGCGAAGGCGGUCUACCAGAACACGUCCGACGGUGAGGGAUGAAAGCUGGGGGAGCAAACCGGAUUAGAUACCCGAGUAGUC
rnacentral:rRNA from 1 species